CCUACGGGUGGCAGCAGUGAGGAAUAUUGGUCAAUGGGCGCGAGCCUGAACCAGCCAAGUAGCGUGAAGGAUGACUGCCCUACGGGUUGUAAACUUCUUUUAUAAAGGAAUAAAGUGAGGCACGUGUGCCUUUUUGUAUGUACUUUAUGAAUAAGGAGCGGCUAACUCCGUGCCAGCAGCCGCGGUAAUACGGAGGAUCCGAGCGUUAUCCGGAUGUAUUGGGUUGAAAGGGAGCGUAGAUGGGUUGUUAAGUCAGUGGUGAAAGUUUGCGGCUCACCCGUAAAAUUGCAAUUGAUACUGGCAGCCUUGAGUACAGUUGAGGUAGGCGGGAUUCGUGGUGUAGCGGU
rnacentral:rRNA from 1 species